CACACCUUUCCAAGGACCCCCAAACUCUGCUCUGUGCACGUCAAAUGCUCCUUUCCCUUGUGUCCAACCCCCUACCCCUCUCCCUAACUCCCCUCUUCUCAACAAGACUCAGCCUCUCCCCGAGGUGGGUGAGCAUCCUUGAGGUUUCCUACCCUUAACUGCUGUGUCCCCGGAUGGAGCCAGAGAAAUGUGGUGGGGGGGCCGGGGCCAGAGUUUCAACAUUGCCCCCCAGAAGGAGGAGCCAGAGAUGGGGUCUGUCCAGGAAAACAGGAUGCCGGAGCCCAGGAGUCGUCAGCCUAGCAGUUGCCUGGCCUCCAGAUGCCUCCCAGGGGAGCAGAUCCUAGCAUGGGCCCCAGGGGUGAGGAAGGGCCUGGAACCGGAAUUGUCUGGAACCCUGAUCUGUACCAACUUUAGGGUCACCUUCCAGCCCUGUGGAUGGCAGUGGAAUCAGGACACUCCCUUGAGCAGUGAAUACGAUUUUGCCCUGGUCAACAUUGGGCGAUUAGAGGCUGUGAGCGGCUUGUCCCGAGUCCAGCUCCUCCGUCCAGGGUCCCUGCUUAAAUUUAUCCCUGAGGAGAUUCUGCUUCAUGGCCGAGACUUCCGGCUGCUCAGAGUUGGUUUUGAGGCUGGAGGCCUAGAGCCUCAGGCUUUUCAGGUGACCAUGGCCAUUGUCCAAGCCAGAGCUCAGAGCAAUCAAGCCCAACAGUAUUCGGGGAUAACCCUGAGCAAGGCUGGCCAGGGUUCUGGCUCCAGAAAACCACCAAUUCCUCUCAUGGAGACAGCGGAAGACUGGGAGACUGAGCGGAAGAAGCAGGCAGCCAGAGGCUGGAGGGUCAGCACGGUCAACGAGAGGUUCGACGUAGCCACCAGCCUCCCCCGUUACUUCUGGGUCCCUAACCGAAUUCUGGACAGUGAGGUCAGGAGAGCAUUUGGCCACUUUCAUCAGGGCCGUGGACCGGUCAGUGUGAGGGUUAGGGUAAUGGCUGUGCAUUAGAGGGUCAUGUGGACCAGGGACAUCGUGGAGGGAGGAACCUCUGUGAGGUCAGUGUGGGGGCAAGGGUAGCAUGGAGCUAGACAUUUCUCCCACAAUGACCCUCUUCUGCCCCAUGUGAAGCGCUUGUCCUGGCAUCACCCUGGGGGCAGUGAUCUUCUCCGCUGUGGAGGCUUCUAUACAGCCAGUGACCCUAACAAGGAGGAUAUCAGAGCAGUGGAGUUGAUGCUCCAGGCUGGGCAUUCAGAUGUUGUCCUGGUAGACACUAUGGAUGAGCUGCCCAGCCUUGCAGAUGUCCAACUUGCCCACCUGAGGCUGAGGGCCCUCUGCCUGCCUGAUUCAUCUGUAGCUGAGGAUAAAUGGCUUUCAGCCCUGGAAGGAACACGAUGGCUGGACUAUGUCAGGGCUUGUCUUCGAAAGGCCAGUGACAUUUCAGUAUUAGUGACAUCCAGGGUUCGUUCUGUAGUACUUCAAGGCUCCGGUGUUUCUCCUCUUCCUUGAUUGUGUCUGGCAGCUCCUCCAGCAGUUUCCAGCUGAUUUUGAAUUCUCUGAGUUUUUCCUUCUUGCUCUUCAUGACAGUGUCAGGGUUCCUGACACCCUUACCUUCCUGAGAAAUACCCCCUGGGAGCGCGGAAAGCAGAGCGGACAGGUCAGUGACUUCUAUUUUUGACUCGUGUUUUUUAUUCCAUUGAGAUGUACUCUCUGAAGUUUGGUCUUGAUUUGUUUUAUGAGAAGUGAGGUCUGUGAGUGGGGAGGGGGAAAUUGAUUCUCAUUUUCAGGACGAGGCUUUUGUCCUACAUCUUUCCUGGAAUAAGAGGUGAGAAUCUCAUGAUUUGUCUCUAGAUGUGGGAGGAUUGUGUGUAACCAUCCUUUUUCUUGCUUCCUCUGUCCAGUUAAACUCCUAUACACAAGUCUACACCCCAGGAUACUCCCAGCCCCCAGCUGGGAACUCUUUUAACCUGCAGCUGUCUGUCUGGGACUGGGAUUUACGCUAUAGCAAUGCACAGAUACUACAAUUCCAGAAUCCUGGCUAUGACCCAGAACACUGUCCAGAUUCCUGGCUCCCUAGACCGCAGCCAAGCUUCAUGGUUCCUGGACCCCCCAGUUCUGUGUGGCUCUUCUCUAGAGGAGCAUUGACCCCCCUGAAUCAGCUCUGUCCUUGGCGGGACAGUCCCUCCCUGCUGGCAGUCUCUUCUCGUUGGCUCCCUCGACCUGCUAUCUCCUCUGAAAGCCUGGCUGACCAGGAAUGGGGUCUCCCCUCACAUUGGGGAGCUUGCCCUUUACCUCCAGGGCUGCUGCUGCCUGGGUAUCUGGGACCCCAGAUCAGGCUCUGGAGACGCUGCUACUUGAGGGGAAGGCCUGAGGUCCAGGUAAGAAGGGAAAAUAGACUGGGAGUGGGAGAAGGGACUUGGCUCUGCUGAACCAGAUGUACAGGAGCUGUAAAGGCAAGGAGCUGAAGGCUGAGGGUCUGGGAGGUGAAGUUCUACUCCUCUUGGCAUCAAACAAGGUUUGGGAGUGUAGGAGGUGCGGGAAAGUGCUUGUGGCUUAGAUUAAGUGGAAUUUAGGGCAUAGCUGGAAGGGGAAACAGAAUUAAAGACACCAGAAGUAGCAGAGAAGCAGGGGGCCAGAGCUACAACAGUAUUCCUCUCUGUUCCUCUUUGCCUCCUCCCCAGAUGGGCCUCUCAGCUCCCACAAUCUCUGGCCUCCAGGAUGAGCUAUCCCAUCUUCAGGAGUUAUUACGGAAAUGGACACCAAGAAUAUCUCCUGAAGAUCACUCCAAGGAAAGAGAUCCACAUACCAUUCUCAAUCCCACUGAAAUUGCUGGCAUUCUCAAAGGCAGGGCAGAGGGGGAUCUGGGGUAGAGGAGGGUUCUGUCUUUUUUUUUUUUGUAUCUGGACUUGCAGCCUUAGCUUUCACACUUCAGCCCUUAAGUUCACUAAGACGUUCUGAGUUUCUCCUGCAGAUGGUGGUGUUAACUGCUCCAACUCUUGUCUUGCUUAGUUCCUACAAAUAUUUUUGCUUCUUGUCAUUUGAAGGAUUAAGAAACAAAAACAAUCCAGAAAUUGAUCGGUUUUUUUAGGCCAAUUCCAUCCCUUCUGGAUAACCAGAUGUUAAAUCAUGAGAUCAGAGAUGCUGUUCAUCAGUCCCAACAAGAUGGCCUAGAAAUCGCAUUCUCACCUCGCCUUGCUGCUGCUUUAAUUCCAAGUUCUAUUUCUUCCCUUAUAGUUUUCUAUGGGAAUGAGGCUGAUACAGGAAACACCCUGUCUCCUCUGUAUUUUUGUAGUGGAAUUUCUAUUUAAGGGGCUCAUUAAAGCAUAGUAUUUAUACAC
rnacentral:sRNA from 1 species